UUGCACUUGUAUCGUAGGUCUCUCUUACUCAAUAGGGUGGCCUUGAGCUUCAGUGCACAGAGUGAAAGCUGUUUAAUCAGCAGGCAGCCAGACAACUGCUGAGAUGGAUCCACAGAUUAACAGCUCAAAGUGCUGUUGUCUACUAAUUCCAUCUCACAAUU